AAGUCGUAACAAGGUUUCCGUAGGUGAACCUGCGGAAGGAUCAUUACAAUACGUUUCCACACGUAAACCAAACGUUGAACUGUACAAGCGUCCGAUAGGAAAUGGGGUUCAUGGGCCGGCGGCUUUGAGGUGGAUACACCAAACACAAAUCAAACUUCGGUUUGAAAGGUGAUCGAAAGUGCCUCGGUCGGUUCUUUUUCCGGUGUUGCUCGAGUUUCGCACUCGCAAAACGGAAAAGCCCUUUCCUAGUUCGCGUAUUUAUCCAUUCAAACACUUUUGCAUCGCCUUUUUUUCCUUUUUAACCCCUUUCACCUUUUUUACUUCAACAUUAUUGAACUGAUUUCGAGCUGCUUAACCGCGCUCGAUCAUUUUUACGAAACGUAAGAACAACUCUUAACAACGGAUAUCUUGGCUCUC
rnacentral:misc_RNA from 1 species